UACGGGGGGGCAAGCGUUGUUCGGAAUUACUGGGCGUAAAGGGCUCGUAGGUGGCCAACUAAGUCAGACGUGAAAUCCCUCGGCUUAACCGGGGAACUGCGUCUGAUACUGGAUGGCUAGAGAUUGGGAGAGGGAUGCGGAAUUCCAGGUGUAGCGGUGAAAUGCGUAGAUAUCGGAAGGAACACCUGUGGCGAAAGCGAUGCACUGGACCUCUUCUGACGCUGAGGCGCGAAAGCCAGGGAGCGAACGGG
rnacentral:rRNA from 1 species